rfam:Candidatus Burkholderia verschuerenii strain TZHbot4 BVERctg238, whole genome shotgun sequence.
AAAGUCCACUGCGAUGAAGGAGUAGCGAACCACAUCGGCCCCGAGCCGUGCGCAGGUCACCGCGAGGUGAUCGGCGAAGCGUCGGCAGGGGAGCGUGCG